CUGGCAACUACAACACUUUUCUUGGCUAAAUAGAACCAAACACUUGACACCAGUCACACCACGUAUCGCACAAAACUUCGACAGCUCCUUUGUCCCCGAGGGAAAGGCAUAUCUGCUCAGUGGUCAUUUGUAUUCGGAUAAAACGCUUUCUGCUACGUCACCUUAUUCUCUCACUUAACUUUCCUUUCCAUUUUCCCGCUAACCAAACAGCUUCUGUUCUACUGAUUUUCUUUCUGUUACAUGGCAGUUAAGUUACAUUAUCAUUCCUUCGUCUCUAGUUCCAGUUCAUCAAAUCCAUGUCUUUCACGAAAUUCAAUUAGCACAUGCAUUUCCUUUAGAAAAGGGGCUGGGUUGGAGUACCUAGUUAGUAAUUGUGGCAAUGCAAGGAAGAAGAACUUUCUGAGACUUGCUAUGUUUGAUAAAGGAAAUUACAGUCUUAAUCACCACUUGGUGGGUUGUAGUAAAAAUUUUGCGAACCUCUGUAAAUCAAGAAGAGUGGGACAUUUCUUGCCCCUUGCAUCUGCAGAUGAUGGUGUAACUGUCAAUGGAAGUCCUCAAGCAAGUACCGAUACCAAUGUUGAGGAAAUCAAGGUUAAACUAAAUCAAUCACUCCAAGGCAAAGAUUGCUGUGAUGGACUUGUUCAAUCUUUACACGACGCAGCUAGAGUUUUCGAGCUUGCCAUUAAAGAACAAGGCUCACAAUCAAACAUGGCUUGGCUAUCAACUUGGAUGGGUGUAGAUCGGAAUGCAUGGAUAAAAACACUCUCUUAUCAGGCUUCUGUAUAUUCCUUAUUACAAGCUGCAAGUGAUGUCUCAUCCCGAGGUGAAGAUAGAGACAGGGAUAUAUAUGUUUUUGUCCAAAGAAGCUUAUUGCGACAAUCUGCUCCUCUAGAGAGCAUAAUUAGGGAGAAACUAUCAGCCAAGCAACCUGAAGCUUAUGAAUGGUUUUGGUCUGAGCAAAUUCCAGUGGUUGUGACAUCCUUUGUGAAUUAUUUUGAAGAGGACCAGCGUUUUGCUGCUGCUACUGCUGUGACUGCGAAAGGUAUGUCCUUGGGCUCUGGAAAUGCUAGCGACAUUUCACUCCUCAUGCUUGCAUUGACCUGCAUUGCUGCAAUCACAAAACUUGGUCCAGCCAAAGUUUCUUGUUCUCAGUUCUUCUCCAUGAUUCCUGAUGUAACUGGUAGAUUCAUGGACAUGCUGGUUGAUAUUAUUCCCAUACACAAAGCUUAUGAUUCUGUAAAAGAAAUUGGUCUCCGCAGAGAAUUUCUUGUCCAUUUUGGUCCUCAGGCUUCGGCAUGUAGAGUGAAGAAUGAUCAGGGUUCCAAAGAGGUUAUUUUUUGGGUUGAUCUUGUACAGAAGCAGCUUCAGCGAGCCAUAGAUAGAGAAAAAAUAUGGUCAAGACUAACGACAUCCGAAAGCAUUGAGGUUUUGGAGAGAGAUUUGGCAAUAUUUGGAUUCUUUAUUGCCUUAGGCAGAAGUACACAGUCCUUUCUAUCUGUAAAUGGAUUUGAUGUCAUAGACGAUCCCCUUGAAGGCUUCAUUAGGUACCUUAUUGGAGGCAGUGUGUUAUACUAUCCUCAACUCUCAACAAUAAGUUCUUAUCAAUUGUAUGUGGAGGUAGUUUGUGAAGUGCUGGAUUGGCUUCCUUUCUAUAAUGGUAACAUUGGCACCCCAAGACAGUCCCAUGGCCACAAAAGCAAACGAGAAGGUCCCCCUAAUGCUGAAGCUAUCCCCCAAGUAUUAGAUGUGUGCUCUCAUUGGAUUCAGAGCUUUAUUAAAUACAGUAAUUGGCUGGAGAACCCUUCAAAUGUUAAGGCAGCAAAAUUCUUGUCCAGGGGGCAUAACAAGUUGACAGACUGCAUGAAAGAAUUUGGCAUGUCAAAAAGUGAGAUGACAGAGAGCACUGAAUCUGGAACUCAUUCACCAGCUGAGAAAGAUUCAGAUUCUUUUGAUAAGGCAUUGGAGAGUGUUGAAGAAGCUCUGAUAAGACUUGAAAAAUUGCUUCAAGAACUGCAUUUGGCAAGUUCUAGUUCUGGAAAAGAGCAACUGAAAGCUGCCUGUUCUGAUCUUGAGAAAAUAAGAAAACUUAAGAAGGAGACUGAGUUCCUAGAGGCUUCUUUCAGAGCAAAAGUAGCUUCUCUUAAGCAGGGAGAUGAUGACAGUGAUUCCCAGUCUUCCAGUAGUGAACAGAAAAUAUACUUGAAGGGCAAAAAGAGAAGCACUAACAUAAUGCAAGAUUGGGCCAAGAGUAAAUCUCGUGGAUUGUUGAGCUUCUUUAUGUGCCUUCCCACCAGGAAGCCUGAGCCUGAAUUAUCCGUUGUCGAUGAAUAUGGAAAUAAAUAUAUUGGGCUGACAACUUCAAACGUAGGCGUUGCAAACUCAGAGUCCAAUGAAAUUCGCCGCUUUGAACUUCUAAGACAUGAGCUUAUUGAACUUGAGAAAAGAGUUCAAAGAAGUGCUGAUCAGUCACAAAAUGAGGAGGAUAUAAAGGUUCUGAAUGAUGGUGCUAACCACAGUGAUGCAGCUAGAGACACUCAAGUGGUCCAGGUUCAGAAGAACAAAAGUAUCAUUGAAAGAUCAAUUGACAAACUAAAAGAAGCUAGCACGGAUGUCUGGCAAGGAACUCAGCUUCUGGCUAUUGAUGUUGCUGCUGCCAUGGGGUUGCUUAGGAGGGCACUGGUUGGAGAUGAAUUAACAGACAAAGAAAAGAAAGCUCUCCGGCGAACUCUCACUGACUUAGCAUCUGUAGUACCUAUUGGUCUUUUAAUGCUUCUGCCUGUUACUGCAGUUGGUCAUGCAGCCAUGUUGGCUGCUAUUCAGAGAUAUGUGCCAGCUUUGAUACCUUCCACCUAUGGACCAGAAAGGCUAGAUCUCUUGAGGCAGCUUGAGAAAGUUAAGGAAAUGGAAACCAGUGAAGUGGACCCUGAUGAAAAUGUGGGUGAACUAAUCUGAGUAGCACUGGCACAAUUUGUUAAAAUACAUCCCUAAAAAAUUUGAAUCCAGAUCUCAAAGUGAGGUAAUAUUUUUGCCCAGGUAGGCACCAAUGGCUGCAGUCUUGGGGAGCACCAGCAGGGGUGCCUGGCUCACGAUGGGAUGAGGGGUGUCCGUCACUCCUGAACUCUGUCAGAUAUGUAAUGUUUAAUAACUGAACCUUCCUGUUUUUGUUUUUCAUCUGCUUGAUUACGUUUGAAAUGAAACGGUUGUUGAGGGGCUCAACUCCAAGUCUUGUGGUGAUUGUUUCUGGUUUUCUGUCUCUAUCACAAAAACCUCCUUUAUUCCAUGCUCCAUUCCUGCAAAGGUCAUAUGUAAAGCUAAUUCUGGCUGUUCUUGCAGACAUUCAUGUACCCUCUUAGAUUGAAUACUCAAAAAGAGGUAAAAACAUAUUUUUAUCCUAAA